GGCCCAGCUGGAUAUGUGCGGUUAUGACCAUUUGGUCAGCUCCCGUUUGAACUUUUCUAGCAACGGGGUGAUCUCUAAACGGGUUACUGCUCCUCUUAGUCAGCCAGGUGCCCAGAUUCUGUAUCUUGUGCUCUGCCCAUAAGAACGUAUAGCUCCUGCGUAGUGGGUUGGCGCGCUAAUAUUUAGGAUAUAUGACUUGGAGAAGUUGAUUAUUAAGUUAGAUAUCCCUGAAUACUCUAAAGGCUUCAAGG